rnacentral:misc_RNA from 1 species
UGUUGCCAGAAAGGGUGAUGGAGGUACAUGAUCCGUCCAGAUCCAACUCGAUAAUAGCAUACAAAUAUUCGUUCUAUGUUGUCAGUCGUCUGCCAUUUAUUCGCCACA